GGGUUGUGAGGUUAAGCGACUAAGCGUACACGGUGGAUGCCCUGGCAGUCAGAGGCGAUGAAGGACGUGCUAAUCUGCGAUAAGCGUCGGUGAGGUGAUAUGAACCGUUAUAACCGGCGAUUUCCGAAUGGGGAAACCCAGUGUGUUUCGACACACUAUCAUUAACUGAAUCCAUAGGUUAAUGAGGCGAACCGGGGGAACUGAAACAUCUAAGUACCCCGAGGAAAAGAAAUCAACCGAGAUUCCCCCAGUAGCGGCGAGCGAACGGGGAGGAGCCCAGAGCCUGAAUCAGUGUGUGUGUUAGUGGAAGCGUCUGGAAAGGCGCGCGAUACAGGGUGACAGCCCCGUACACAAAAAUGCACAUAUUGUGAGCUCGAUGAGUAGGGCGGGACACGUGGUAUCCUGUCUGAAUAUGGGGGGACCAUCCUCCAAGGCUAAAUACUCCUGACUGACCGAUAGUGAACCAGUACCGUGAGGGAAAGGCGAAAAGAACCCCGGCGAGGGGAGUGAAAAAGAACCUGAAACCGUGUACGUACAAGCAGUGGGAGCCUCUUAAUGGGGUGACUGCGUACCUUUUGUAUAAUGGGUCAGCGACUUAUAUUCUGUAGCAAGGUUAACCGAAUAGGGGAGCCGAAGGGAAACCGAGUCUUAACUGGGCGUUAAGUUGCAGGGUAUAGACCCGAAACCCGGUGAUCUAGCCAUGGGCAGGUUGAAGGUUGGGUAACACUAACUGGAGGACCGAACCGACUAAUGUUGAAAAAUUAGCGGAUGACUUGUGGCUGGGGGUGAAAGGCCAAUCAAACCGGGAGAUAGCUGGUUCUCCCCGAAAGCUAUUUAGGUAGCGCCUCGUGAAUUCAUCUCCGGGGGUAGAGCACUGUUUCGGCAAGGGGGUCAUCCCGACUUACCAACCCGAUGCAAACUGCGAAUACCGGAGAAUGUUAUCACGGGAGACACACGGCGGGUGCUAACGUCCGUCGUGAAGAGGGAAACAACCCAGACCGCCAGCUAAGGUCCCAAAGUCAUGGUUAAGUGGGAAACGAUGUGGGAAGGCCCAGACAGCCAGGAUGUUGGCUUAGAAGCAGCCAUCAUUUAAAGAAAGCGUAAUAGCUCACUGGUCGAGUCGGCCUGCGCGGAAGAUGUAACGGGGCUAAACCAUGCACCGAAGCUGCGGCAGCGACACUAUGUGUUGUUGGGUAGGGGAGCGUUCUGUAAGCCUGUGAAGGUGUACUGUGAGGUAUGCUGGAGGUAUCAGAAGUGCGAAUGCUGACAUAAGUAACGAUAAAGCGGGUGAAAAGCCCGCUCGCCGGAAGACCAAGGGUUCCUGUCCAACGUUAAUCGGGGCAGGGUGAGUCGACCCCUAAGGCGAGGCCGAAAGGCGUAGUCGAUGGGAAACAGGUUAAUAUUCCUGUACUUGGUGUUACUGCGAAGGGGGACGGAGAAGGCUAUGUUGGCCGGGCGACGGUUGUCCCGGUUUAAGCGUGUAGGCUGGUUUUCCAGGCAAAUCCGGAAAAUCAAGGCUGAGGCGUGAUGACGAGGCACUACGGUGCUGAAGCGACAAAUGCCCUGCUUCCAGGAAAAGCCUCUAAGCAUCAGGUAACAUCAAAUCGUACCCCAAACCGACACAGGUGGUCAGGUAGAGAAUACCAAGGCGCUUGAGAGAACUCGGGUGAAGGAACUAGGCAAAAUGGUGCCGUAACUUCGGGAGAAGGCACGCUGAUAUGUAGGUGAAGCGACUUGCUCGUGGAGCUGAAAUCAGUCGAAGAUACCAGCUGGCUGCAACUGUUUAUUAAAAACACAGCACUGUGCAAACACGAAAGUGGACGUAUACGGUGUGACGCCUGCCCGGUGCCGGAAGGUUAAUUGAUGGGGUUAGCGGUAACGCGAAGCUCUUGAUCGAAGCCCCGGUAAACGGCGGCCGUAACUAUAACGGUCCUAAGGUAGCGAAAUUCCUUGUCGGGUAAGUUCCGACCUGCACGAAUGGCGUAAUGAUGGCCAGGCUGUCUCCACCCGAGACUCAGUGAAAUUGAACUCGCUGUGAAGAUGCAGUGUACCCGCGGCAAGACGGAAAGACCCCGUGAACCUUUACUAUAGCUUGACACUGAACAUUGAGCCUUGAUGUGUAGGAUAGGUGGGAGGCUUUGAAGUGUGGACGCCAGUCUGCAUGGAGCCGACCUUGAAAUACCACCCUUUAAUGUUUGAUGUUCUAACGUGGGCCCCUUACCGGGGUUGCGGACAGUGUCUGGUGGGUAGUUUGACUGGGGCGGUCUCCUCCUAAAGAGUAACGGAGGAGCACGAAGGUUGGCUAAUCCUGGUCGGACAUCAGGAGGUUAGUGCAAUGGCAUAAGCCAGCUUGACUGCGAGCGUGACGGCGCGAGCAGGUGCGAAAGCAGGUCAUAGUGAUCCGGUGGUUCUGAAUGGAAGGGCCAUCGCUCAACGGAUAAAAGGUACUCCGGGGAUAACAGGCUGAUACCGCCCAAGAGUUCAUAUCGACGGCGGUGUUUGGCACCUCGAUGUCGGCUCAUCACAUCCUGGGGCUGAAGUAGGUCCCAAGGGUAUGGCUGUUCGCCAUUUAAAGUGGUACGCGAGCUGGGUUUAGAACGUCGUGAGACAGUUCGGUCCCUAUCUGCCGUGGGCGCUGGAGAACUGAGGGGGGCUGCUCCUAGUACGAGAGGACCGGAGUGGACGCAUCACUGGUGUUCGGGUUGUCAUGCCAAUGGCACUGCCCGGUAGCUAAAUGCGGAAGAGAUAAGUGCUGAAAGCAUCUAAGCACGAAACUUGCCCCGAGAUGAGUUCUCCCUGACUCCUUGAGAGUCCUGAAGGAACGUUGAAGACGACGACGUUGAUAGGCCGGGUGUGUAAGCGCAGCGAUGCGUUGAGCUAACCGGUACUAAUGAACCGUGAGGCUUAACCUUACAACGCCGAAG
rnacentral:rRNA from 2 species